CCUACGGGAGGCAGCAGUGAGGAAUAUUGGUCAAUGGACGAGAGUCUGAACCAGCCAAGUAGCGUGAAGGAUGACUGCCCUAUGGGUUGUAAACUUCUUUUAUAUGGGAAUAAAAUGUUCCACGUGUGGGUUUUUGUAUGUACUAUAUGAAUAAGGAUCGGCUAACUCCGUGCCAGCAGCCGCGGUAAUACGGAGGAUCCGAGCGUUAUCCGGAUUUAUUGGGUUUAAAGGGAGCGUAGAUGGAUUGUUAAGUCAGUUGUGAAAGUUUGCGGCUCAACCGUAAAAUUGCAAUUGAAACUGGCAGUCUUGAGUACAGUUGAGGUAGGCGGAAUUCGUGGUGUAGCGGGGAAAUGCUUAGAGAUCACGAAGAACUCCGAUUGCGAAGGCAGCUCACUAAACUGCAACUGACACUGAGGCUCGAAAGUGUGGGUAUCAAACAGGAUUAGAUACCCUUGUAGUC
rnacentral:rRNA from 1 species